CCAAAUCCCAUCAUCACCCUAAAUGACUUUAGAAACCUAAGAACCUCCAGCCAUUUCUUACUUGCAACAAAACUUCAGCCAACCAGAAAAUCAAAGUCAAUCGUCUUUUGCAAAACUUACAAUUGCUUCCGCUGCUACUUACAAUCACUGCCAGAUAACUGAAAAAUUACACGACUUGACCACCACCCUAAGAAAGCUCACGAUCCUACGAAUCUCCACCAUGUCCGUAAAAAAAUUAAAAAUAAAAAAGACCAGUUAAAAUAAGCAACCUUCACAACUACUAGAUUAAGAAUCACGUAAGGUGAAAGUAGGAAUGUGAAGUCGGUACAAAAUUUGCACCAUACAGACGAGGAAGGAAGAAUACAGAAUAAUCAUCCGAUCAAGUUAUGUCCUAUAUCAAAUACUCAAAUCUAUAACAACAGAAACUUGGGUAAUACCAUUUUCCAACAUUUACAGUGACGCAAGUAACCUUAACCUCAAAGGCCAGAUAUCGUUGGACACCUAGACAGAGAACUAUUCCGCUUAACCAAAAAAAAAAUUAGACAAGGCACUGCACUAUAGACUCUGUUCCAUCCACCCUAAGAAUGUUUCUUCUGUAAUAAAAGAACUACCUAUUGUCAAACUACCUUUGACAGAAUCACUUGAUUUCCUAAAAUGCUUAUGAUAGAAAAUGAAAACUGCAUCACAAUAACAUAGUUUGCUCAAAAAAUAGUCAAAGUCAGCUCAUAAACAUGAACAUAACAGCUAUGGAAGAGCUGCUCCGACCCAGACCAACCCCACCCUCCACCUCCCCCACCAAAAUAAAUAUAUAUAUAUAUAUAUAUUUUUCCCCAUAGAUAAUCUUAUUAGAAGAGAUUUUGAAUUUUCAAGAAAUAGGAAUCUAAUGAUUGUGUUGGAAUCUCUGAUGACGAUCUUCCACAUUUAACACAUUGAAUGACUGAAAGUGGGAUAGAAUUGUCAUUACACAAAGGAUGUCCCCAAUUUUUAUGAGAAACCUAAAGUUUGAGGCAGAAUACAAGGAUGUCUUUAUUUGGAAAAAGUAUAAUCAGAUUAGGAUUAUGCUCAAUAGUUGGUCCUCCUAAACAUAGUUGGUCUACUGUCCUAAAUCUGAAUAUAAAAUUGUGCUGUCCAUACAUAUAUAAAUCUAGGAUCACAAAAUCAUUUCAAACCCC
rnacentral:lncRNA from 1 species